rnacentral:miRNA from 1 species
UGGAGGGUGCUGGGUGACUGAGC